rnacentral:rRNA from 1 species
CGGCGAGUGAAGCGGCAAAAGCUCAAAUUUGAAAUCUAGCACCUUCGGUGUUCGAGUUGUAAUUUGAAGAUGGUAACCUUGGGUUUGGCUCUUGUCUAUGUUCCUUGGAACAGGACGUCAUAGAGGGUGAGAAUCCCGUCUGAUGAGAUGCCCAUUCCUAUGUAAGGUGCUAUCGAAGAGUCGAGUUGUUUGGGAAUGCAGCUCUAAGUGGGUGGUAAAUUCCAUCUAAAGCUAAAUAUUGGCGAGAGACCGAUAGCGAACAAGUACAGUGAUGGAAAGAUGAAAAGAACUUUGAAAAGAGAGUGAAAAAGUACGUGAAAUUGUUGAAAGGGAAGGGCAUUAGAUCAGACUUGGUGUUUUACGAUUAUCUUCUCUUCUUGAGUUGUGCACUCGUAUUUCACUGGGCCAGCAUCGAUUCGGAUGGCAAGAUAAUGGCAGUUGAAUGUGGCUUCACUUCGGUGGAGUGUUAUAGCUUCUGCUGAUAUUGCCUGUCUGGAUCGAGGGCUGCGUCUUUUGACUAGGAUGCUGGCGUAAUGAUCUAAUGCCGC